CAGUAGCCGCGGGAAUACGCAGGUGGCAAGCGUUGUCCGGAUUUAUUGGGCGUAAAGCGAGCGCAGGCGGUCAAUUAAGUCUGAUGUGAAAGCCCCCGGCUCAACCGGGGAGGGUCAUUGGAAACUGGUUGACUUGAGUGCAGAAGAGGAGAGUGGAAUUCCAUGUGUAGCGGUGAAAUGCGUAGAUAUAUGGAGGAACACCAGUGGCGAAGGCGACUCUCUGGUCUGUAACUGACGCUGAGGCUCGAAAGCGUGGGUAGCAAACAGGAUUAGAUACCCCGGUAGUCCCUGUCUCUUAUAA
rnacentral:rRNA from 1 species